UGUUUUUUGCAUUAACUGAACCCUUGCACUUAGACACAUUAGCAAAUUUUCUUUUGGUCCCAUGUGUGUGAACUGUCCUUCAAAUCCCUGCUGAUUGCUGUUUAGAAGAGUUAAUUAAUUCUGCUUUUUAAAAGGAUUAGGGAAUAAAAUGGUGUCGGAUUUCAUUUGUAGCCAUAGGAAUCUAAGUUCUCUUCAUUCUCCAAACCAUAAUCUUGUAUAGAUUUUGAAGACAGAAAGGUUAAAAUUAUAUCAAAUCAAAUAAAAAUACAAGAAUUGAAGAUGUCUCCAUCGAUCAGUAGAUGUCCUUUCACCCCUUUGAUAUGCUUUAUAGACAUGAUGUCAGUAUCAUGCAAAUCCAUCAUAGUAGAUGCCUUAAUCUGUAUUUGUUGUAUACAAUAUAGUUAGUUUUUAUGCAACUUAAAACAUUCAUAUCUAAUCAUUAGUUGUUGCAUAGACAAAAUUAAUUAAAUUUUAAAUUCACUAUCUUAAAGAUAAAAUAAAAUAAAAAACUUAUGCGACAAUGAAAUUACUUUAUUGAAGGUGCAUACUAGCAGAUAAAUGCAGGCCAUCUUUCAGUAACCAAAUUUUUAUAGGCUCUUUGUCCAUACAUUAACAUGUUGGGAGUAGUAUAACUUUGAAGAUUCUUUCUUUCUUUUUUUAUCUAUGAAAAUUGGUAAAAUUGAUUUUUUUUUUCAUGCUAGAAUGUUUGACUUUGAUGAACUUGCAAUAGAUGCUUUUUCUUAUGAUAUAAAUACAUGAAUUUAUAUGAUCCUAUUGAAUUACUUCGCCAUUGGUCAGCCUCAGCGGUCAAUAAUGCAAAUUUGGCAAAUGUGUUCUUAAGAUCAUGAAUAAUAAAUGUGUAAAUGUGUUAUUCUAGUAGAUAUAUUUAUCAAGGGAAAUGAAAGACGAAAAAAAAAAGGAAUUCUCAGUACUAAAGAAAUUUGAUUAAUAACUAAAAGUGUUGGUAAAAAGCAAUAAAUUCUACUGGUUGUCUGAGUCUUUUUAAUGUAUUAUUUCUUAGUUGCUGUUGUUGUGUUGUGUUGUGUUGUGUGGCUUUAGUUUCAGGAAUUUAAUGCUGUAAGUAGAAAGCUUUCAAAUAUAUUUGAGUAAAAAGGAUAGUGAUAUCAAAAUCACUGAAUCAAAUUUGGUAAUGCUGAGAGGGAGACACCUUGUUAACACCUUGUUAGUAUAUGGUCUAGAGCAACAAAACAAUAAGGUUUUAGAUCUUCUUCAACUCUUGCUGCUAGCUACUUUACUUUGAAAGCUUCAAGUUUUAAUAUUUGCUGAAAAAGAAAAAAGAAGGGAAUUAUCAUUUGAAAGAGGGAUUGGAUCAAGAGAGUGAGAUUCUAUCACCAAGAGAGUUAGAAAGUAGGUCUUCUGGAGCGAGCAACAAGGAAGCAUGAUCUUGUAUGAUAAAGAUUUUAUGUAUUAAGUAUUAUAGAUAUAUGUUAAGACAAAUUAUUGAAAAAUGUUAUCUUUGAUACUUUGUUUUUGGAUUAUGAUUUUUUAUUUUUGGAGACUGUGUAUGAAUUAAAAAUCUUGUUAUGAUGUUUGAUUUAAGGUUAUGCUUUUUGGUUA